ensembl:lncRNA
AAUCCAAAUUUUUCUGUAAGCAUUUUAUUUUUCUGUGAGCAAAUAAUUACAGUAGUAUAUACAUUGCUAGUAUAGUAAUAUUUACAUUAUUAUAGUGCCACCGUGAGGUUUACUAUGAAGAUCUAGCUGAACAGAAAAUCAAGGAAGCAUCAAUUGUCUGCACACUUAAGCCUGAAUGGACCACAAUGUACCUUCGUCUUCCUGGAUCCCAAAUUAGUUGGUUGAGGGAAAACCCCUCUUACACUGCAGCGCUCCUCGGUAUUGUGAAAAGACAAAGAAUUCAUGUCACAGGAAGUUAAGACAAAACAACACUACAUUAAAGAGAAAACGCCAAGCUGCUGUUCUCUUUUGAGCAGUGACGUUCAAAUACACCUGAGUGGUUCAAUUAAUGUUUGCUUUAAAGCUGUGUCUGUGAGGUUGAAGCAUCACAGGUUAACAGGAAGGGAGCGGGAGUGUAGAGGUUUCAGGAUCCAUCAGGAACAACGUGAUUAACACAGACAAGUUCAUACUAGCAUGGCCAUCUGACUGCUUCCCCCAUGGAAUAUGUCUGGAAAACACUCUCAUUUUACAGGGUUAUUCAUCCGGUGACUUAAGGAACACGGACACUAAUACAAACUCAGACACAAUCCUAAAAAUGAAAAACAAAUGUUUGUUCAUCAAUCAUUACCACCUUGCUUAUUCCAUAUUUGAUGGUGAUUCACCUUCCUUCAUUGACACCAACCUGCCUGGCGUGAGCAGAAGUAUGUGUGAACAGAUGGAUUCAGCAUAGACCUGAAACCAUAGCAACCAAUGAGGAGCUACUUCAAUCAAUGCAGCAAUACAUUUCCACGAAUCAGCCCCCUCUCCCAUCUGAGGGACCGUAGUCGUCCAGCUGUAAUGAGCCGCCACAGGAAUGGAAAAACAUCAACUCUGUACGGGUGCUUCAAGUUUUACAUACAAAGCAAGCAGUCAGCAGGAGCUCUGCAGCACCACCGAAAUCCCAUUUCAUGCUGUUUCUCACACGUUAAGUGCCCUUCAGGAAAUCAGCGGUAAAGGUCACUCGAGUGGGAAAUGCGGCACGUCUGCCUUAAGAAAAUUGUUGUGAGCCGUCAAUGUCCCACUAAGUGUACAAAAUACAACAUAUGUUGUAUUUUCAUUUUAGGGGGAUCAAUAUCACAACAUGGAUUUAAAGGAUUCCCACCAUCUUAUCCCAGAAAAACCACGUGAAUAUUUCCAUCUGCUCAUCGGUCAGUCUCUACAACAGUUGUGCUGUACAACAGGUUAAAUAAAACACGUAUACACAAUGGCUUCAGUCAAAGGAUUUAACGGAGCCGUUUGAUUUGUACCUCAAGUAGAAAGUUUUCUGCUUAGGGAUUGUUUGGCUUUUUAGCUAAGAAGAAGGCACAGUGCCUCGAUCCAGGGUGUAAUAAUUUUAGCUAAUCUCAUUUUAUAGCAUUAAUUACAGACGUUUCUUUUAGUUUCUUUCAAAACUAAAAAAAAACUGAGCUGUUAGCGUGGCAACAGAACUUAAAGGUCAUGUCUCGAGCAUUGAGGAUGCAUGUUGCAAUAUUAAAUAUUGAACAAACCUUUGUACCGAAGAGUUGGAGGUAGCACAAUAACUCCUUUGUGAGUAGCCGUGCCGCCUAAAUGAUGCCACACCUACCGAAGGGAGGAUUCAUCACUAAUGCAUCAGCCGUUUAGUGCGUGCUCGCUCAAGUCAUGAUCGCACCCGUUCAACCAUUCCUUCUGAGUGCAGCUCCAGGAUGACGGCUGGAGAGCAUCUAAGCACUGAUUAGACACUGCAGAGAACGAGUGCAUGUUCUCAUUCUGUAACUGCUCAUUGAUUUCAGUACGAUGCAAAGAGUUUAUUAUGCACAAUACCAUCCUGUAAGGAUGGGGGUUUGCGAUAUACUGUUAAUGUAAAGAGAAGAUAGAACUGACUACGUUUUAAAGAGGCCUUUACAGUGACAAGGUGUCUUUUUGAGGGAUGCCAAAGGAGCAAUGAAUAAUAAUAUUUCCACUCACCAAAGUUUGUAAUUAUUUCCUCUCCAACGGUUGAGUAGCGGCUUCAUGGUUAUCUAAAUGGACACAGUAUUUUAGGGGGCAAAUGCACAUGGCUGCUAAUGGUUGUGUUAUUUUCCGCCUGUCUUCAGACAUAAUAGCCAAGCUCUUACACGAGACCCCCCCCCCCCUCCCGUCUGAGAGGAAUCACAUCCACUAGUAACACGAAUUGACUAAGUGGUAGUAAAGAGCUUCCAGAGAAUCCAUCCAGAAAACACACGACCUGCUGCUGAGCAAACUCCACAUUCAAAACAACAUGUUUAGUACCUAAACAAUUGUUUCAAUCAAGUUCUGCAUCACAUAUAAACACACCAAGUCAUAUUCUCCUCAAGUGAAGGCCUGUUGCGCUGAGGAUGGACCUGGCCUUUCCAUCGCCUUCCAAGCUGCACCUCCUUCACUCUUUAAAAUGCGAAUCUAGCCAGGAAAUUAUUUUCCGUCCUAAAACCAAAACACAAUAACACAAUAACAU